rnacentral:rRNA from 1 species
GGCGGCAUGCUUAACACAUGCAAGUCGAACGCGCCCUUGGGCUUCGGCCUGAGGGUGAGUGGCGCACGGGUGAGUAGCGCGUGGGAACCUGCCCUGGAGUGGGGGAUAACCGAGGGAAACUUCGGCUAAUACCGCAUGCGCCCCGGGAGAGAUCUCGGGGGAAAGAUUUAUCGCUCUAGGAGGGGCCCGCGUCGGAUUAGCUUGUUGGUGGGGUAACGGCCUACCAAGGCUCUGAUCCGUAGCUGGUCUGAGAGGAUGAUCAGCCACACUGGGACUGAGACACGGCCCAGACUCCUACGGGAGGCAGCAGUGGGGAAUAUUGGACAAUGGGCGCAAGCCUGAUCCAGCAAUGCCGCGUGAGUGAGGAAGGCCUUAGGGUUGUAAAGCUCUUUCGGCGGGGACGAUGAUGACGGUACCCGCAGAAGAAGCCCCGGCUAACUUCCUGCCAGCAGCCGCGGUAAUACGAAGGGGGCGAGCGUUGUUCGGAUUUACUGGGCGU